GCACUUUUUUUUCAGCUGCCCCCGACAUAUAUUAAGCAUGCCGGUUCGCCGGCUAUGGCGAUAAACGCGACCGUAAUAAGCCAUUCGGACCCGGGGGCGGUACCCGGCGCCUCCACCAAAUGCCCGUCGCAAAUUCCCGUGCCUUGGCACCGGAAGCGAUCCAGCGGGCAUCUGAUGGGGGCGAAAUAGGAUCGACGAGGGUGUAAAGGGUUUAGCUUUUGCUCGGCAUGGUACCGCCGUCAUCGGGCCACCAGAGUAGUUGCAAAUGACAACUAUGCUGAGGUUGCAGUCGCUGCGUAAUGCAGUGCCUGUGCCUAAACUCAAGCCCUUGCCCCUAGCAGGGUAAGGCGCGGUUCGGAGGGCACCGGGCAACAGAAGCCCUCCACU
rnacentral:tmRNA from 1 species